CACACCGCCCGUCACAUCACGAAAGUGGGUUGUACUAGAAGUUCUCGGGCUAACCCACAAGGGAAGCAGAGGCCCAAGGUAUGACUCAUGAUUGGGGUG
rnacentral:rRNA from 1 species